GAUGAACGCUGGCGGCGUGCCUAAUACAUGCAAGUAGAACGAUGAGGGAAGGAGCUUGCUCUUUCCGGAUUAGUUGCGAACGGGUGAGUAACGCGUAGAUAACCUACCUGUUAGCGGGGGAUAACUAUUGGAAACGAUAGCUAAUACCGCAUAACAGUAGAUGUUGCAUGAUAUCUACUUAAAAGGUGCAAUUGCACCACUACCAGAUGGACCUGCGUUGUAUUAGCUAGGUGGUGAAGUAACGGCUCACCAAAGCGACGAAUCAGAACCGACCCGGGAGGGGGAUCGGCCACACCGGGAACGGGACACGGCCCAGAAUCCCACGGGAGGGAGCAGUAGGGAAACCUUCGGAAAGGGCGGAAGGCUGAACGGGCCAAGCCGCGUGAGUGAAGAAGGUUUUCGGGUCGUAAAACUCUGUUGUAAGGGAAGAAACAGAGUGGGAAUGGAAAGUUCACACCGUGACGGUACCUUAUCAGAAAGCCACGGCUAACUACGUG
rnacentral:rRNA from 1 species